AAUUGCAAAAAGAACGUUCUUUUAUUUGCUUCAAGUGCAAAAUUAAAAUGUAAAUUAGUCGAAUUCUUGUGAAGAUAUACAGCGAUAUUUCUGUACUAAAAAAAAGACAAAUAAUUUCAUUAGGUAUCCCUCAGCAGGAGUAUUCGACUAUAAAAUGAAACCGGGUUGCAUCGGUAUCAGUUCGAUGUAGAAAGUUCAACGCUAACGUAAUGAAAUUUUACUUUGUCAGCUUCUGGCUGUGUGGCAUUCUAAUAGUAGUCCUAACCGGUCCCAGUGCCGAUAGUUCCCGCGUCAAACGUCAAGAUAUGGAGCAAAUGAAACCUUGGGGUGAAUGGGGCGUGAAGUGGGGUAAAGAAAUGGUGACGACUAUUAUAAUACCGGCUGGAAAAGAAGCAGUUGAAAUUGGUUCAUCUAGCGGGGGAGGCGAAGAGGCACCAGCUUCGUGACAUCCCAUUUACGUCAACCAAUUGUGAACGGUGCUUUCGAUCGAGAUUCGAAUAUAAAAGGAGUCAUCUAAUCAUAAUCGUACUAAUAUAGAAUAAUGUUUGCAGAAAAUCCUUUACCCGUGAUGAGAUGUAGUUUAUUGAUUGAGCAAGCUUCAAUAAAAUAAUAGAAAUCACAAGCGCUA